rnacentral:rRNA from 1 species
AUGGUGUCGCCCGCCGGCCACGACGGCGUAGGCGUAGGCGCGGAGCUUGGCACCCGGCCGGCAGGCAGCGGGAGUGUCGUAUUCCUAUUCCUAUUCCUUCCUUCCAUCGAAACAUUCUGCUUUUCUGUUUUUGGAUCGAUAUAUCGAUCGAUCGAGAGCCGAGACCCGCGCGAUCAGUCGUUCCGGAAAUCUCCGCGCCUAGCCCAGACCCAAAUUCCAAUCUCCAAUUUGUGUACUAACCCGCUGGCCCUCGACGACGCCCACCUCCUCCCGUCCCCCGCCCCCGCCGCCGCAUUGGUGUCCCGCGUCCUCGCCUCCCACCCGGGCCCCUUCCGCGCCGUCCGCAUCGCCGAGAUCCCCAUCGACGAGUCCAACGAGGAGGCGCUCCUCCACCUCGCCGACAAGGGCGUGGAGGACCUCACCUCACCCUGGUCAACCGCCCCUACUCCUUCGACGUGCCCGUGCAGCUACCCGCAACCCUCCUCCGCUGCGGGGCCUCGCUCGGUCGCUCCGCCGCCUCUACCUCGGCGUCUGGCUCUUCCCCUUCACCACCGGCCUCCCGCGCGGCCCCGACGUCUUCCCCCACCUCCAGGAGCUCGGCCUCUGCCACGGCAACACGGAGGAGAGCGACCUCGACUAUGUGCUCGCCUGCAGCCCCAAGCUGGAGGCCCUGGCGCUCAUCUCCAACUACGCUACCCCGACCGCGUCCGCCUCGGCAGCCGCAGCCUCCGCUGCGUGCUGCUCUGGCAUUCCUUGGCCGACGAGGUCGCCGCCGUGUCCGCCCCAAACCUGCAGCGCCUCAUUAUCUACUGUACGCACCCAACCGAGGAUGACAGGGUCAUCAAGGUCAAGAUAGGCCAUGCUCCCCAGCUCGCCGUGCUCGGCUACUUGGACACGGCCACCCACGAGCUUGAGAUCGGCAACACCUUCAUCAAGGCUGGGGUGACAAAAGUUAGCCCAAAUACAGUGGUUCCAAGUGUGAAGGUGUUAGCUCUGAAGGUCCGUUUCAGAGUGCCCAAAGAAGUCAGAACUUUGCUCUGUUUCUUGAGAUGCUUCCCUGGAGUGGAGACCUUACACAUCAUGGCUUCCGACAACGACACCGACCACUACGAUGACCCGGGUGAAGUCAAGCCCAGCGACCAGCUCAAGUCCACAUUCUGGCAGGGGGUCAGUACGAUCAAAUGCGUGAAGUCGCGCGUCCAGAAGCUGGUGUUCGACUAG